UAGCCUCAAUUCAUUAGCAUCUUCUACACUGUGAAGAAAUAUACACGAUAGAAUUAUAUGCGGAGAAUAAUAGCAUGUAAAAUCACGACACAGCCUUACAAUUUACACAGAAUUUCCUCUAAUUAUACAAAACUUACCAUUCAGUCCUCUACAUAGCUAUAAUACAGUAUGAUCUACAUUGCUUUGGUCAAAGCCAUACCUUCUGAUAGCCAAGUUAAUUCUUCCAAACCAAGUCCAAUCCAUAUAAUGCUUGCUCUAACUUGCAUCUUCUUCAAGAUUUCCGUGGUGAAAUGCGUUCUUUACAUUGAGCUAGAGGAGUGGCCAAUCUAAAGUUGUUGCAGAUAUUAGGACUCUAAUAGUAUUUAUUUUGACAAAUGUUAGCUUUCUAUUUGGAAUAUUUAAGAAGUGGGUUUCUGUUAUGUUUUUUUGUUUACUUUAGUACCAAUAAAGAAUUUUUUAGUCGGGAAAUCAUUAAAGGUGUGUUAGGACGAAUAAAAGCAGAUUCAAUCUUAGUAAGGCUUGAUUCAUCAUUUAAAAUGUUAUAGGCAGACUGUGAAAUUGGUGUGGCAGUUAUAUGAGGGGGGUUUAUUUGUUGUAGGGCAGUCUUAAUUUGUGGUGGCGGUUUUUGUGUAAUAUAGUUGAAAAAUAAAGAAUUGGUAUAUAAAGAUCUUUCUGCAUUGAAAUGCAAUACUGGAUGAGCUUCUGCUUACAUCCUGUAUUUAUAGUGUUGAAGCUCAACAAGACAGAUAGUUAUACUGUCUUACAUAAACAAACUAACUGAAGCUACUACGAAAGAGAAAACCCUAAUUAGUAUAGCUACUUGUACAGAAAACAGAAAUAUAACUGAUCACGAAAGACCUAACAUUGAGAAGAAUAUUCUCUCGAAUAAAAGUUCAAACAUUUUUAUUCUGUACUAGGUGACAACUUUAAAAUAGAGAAAAGAACCAGAACACUAUAUUGACCAAAAUUCCAUUUCUACCAAUUGUCUUUAGUCAUCAUAUACGAAGAAAACAAAUAAUGCUUUAGUUCGUAGGCCCACAAGGGGAAUAACAGUACUCUGUUAAUUUAAAUGUAGAUGGUUAAAACACACCACUCUUCUUUUGCAUCUAACUGCAAUUUUAUUUUGACAAGGAAACAAUGGAGUUGAAAUUAUACCUAGGUAAAAAGUGUGAUUAAAUAACUUCAUAUGAAGAAAGUCAAUCAAAACUACUCAUGGUGAAAUUAUCAAGGUUCAAUUUUAAAGUGAACACUCCUUGACCAGAACUUUGCUUUCGAUAUCUGAUAAUGCAAUCAUAUUUUGCUGCCUCCAUAUGACUAGUAUAGUGUUUAUUUACUUUUAUAAUUCUAAUGCUUCAAGCAUUGCUUGCAGGGAGCUCGUAAGCGUUUUGAUAAAUCCUCCCUUGUAUACGACCAGGUCCUCAUUUUCCCAACAAGGUUACAGAGUGGUGAACUCUGCAUCCGUAGAUUUUGGGUAAAAUGUGUUUUAAGUCUCUUAAGUUUUGGUCCCUGUAUUUUCUGAAAUGCGGAGGAUUUUUGGUCCCUCGCUAGGUUGUAAUGAAGGAUGGGAUCGUGGAAGAAAUCCACUCUAUCUCAGAAAAAACUGAAACCACUUAUUUUAAAAUGGAAGGACUAGAACCAAAUAUUGAGGGAUCUAAAAUACAUUUUACCAUAGGUUUUGUUUCUGCUACGGAUUUAUCUCUGAGAUAUACAAUAUACUAAACAUAGCCUCAAUUAAUCAGCAUCUUCUACACUAUGAAGAAAUAUACAUGAUAGAAUUAUAUGCGGAGAAUAUUAACAUACAAAAUCACGAGAUAUAAUGCCUUACACUUUAUACUAAGACUUUCCUCCAAUUAUACAAAACUUACCUUUCAGUCCUCACUACAUAGGAACAGCCUCAAUAAGCUUAGCAAAGUAAAAUUGAGUAGUGAUUAAGCCUUUCUUCC
rnacentral:lncRNA from 1 species